AUUACAGAGGAUAAUGUAUUGCCCUUUUUGUGGAUUCAGCCUGGAAUCACUAACUGCAUUUUGCAGUUCAUGUGGCAAGGACAUCACAUUCUUGAAUCUUGAUAAGACUGGCACAUCUGCAGUGGAGUCAUUCCACAACUUUCGCAGUUUAAAAGAGAAGAGGCGGCAUUCAUACAUCAAAAAGAA